AAGGAAUAGCGCAAACAACCUGCAUUUGCUCGGCCGGAAACUAGUAUUAUUUGCAUCGAUCAGUUCAAGGAUAGAGAAUUUCAAAUCAUUGAUAAACAACUUACAAUGAUAUAUAUGAAUUGACGAUUCUGCAUCAUUUGAUAAGAAUGCAUCUGAUUGGUGAUCCUUCUGGGCCUUUCAACCUCUAAGGUAAUUAAGCAAUGGACAGAAUAUAUUCCCAGUUGGAUGUCAUCAAGUUUUAGAUCUUCCACAAGGAUGAUUUCCUGCAACAUUGAAACCGAUCUUAGUGCUCAUCGAGUCUUCAAAACUAAGAGCAUCCUUUGCACUAACUUAAUUUCGUCACUCACCAAUGGAUCCUGCAUCCUACAAUACUAAGAGUAUGCAUGCUCUCAACAAUUGCAAAGUUAGAAACUACUUGCCUUCAAUCAAAGGAUCAAUAACUACUGCAAAUAGAAAAUCAAAUGCAUUCCUUCCGUAUGUAAUAUGUUACACUUAAAAGUUGGAGUCUCAAACACUGAUAAUUAAUGAUCCUAAACUGAUGAUGAAGAGUUUGUGUUCCCCCACAAAUUAGCAAGAAGCACUAGAAGACCACAGAGUUCCCAUGAACUGCUGAGACCAAGAUGUAUAUACAUACGCUAACUGCAUCUGAACAAUAACCACUGCAAGGUAGUCUAGUGGUUAUUGUCUAGUUGGGUGUGUUUCCCAACCUAAGUUUGAAUCACGAUAUUGUCAAAAAUGGCCAAGGGAGGGGCUGCAAUGCCAUGUUGACUGUCCGGGCCCCCAGCGGAUUAAUCCUUAGGCCUAGGAAGCCUUUAGCAUACUGUGAUCUUGAAUAAAUAAAUAAAAAAUGCAUGUAAAUAAUAGUUAUUACAAUGCUGAUUUCUUUUGUAUAUAUCAUUGUUUGUGCAGUGGAUUAUGCGGGUUGAUAAUCCUAUGCACUAACGGUUGUUGUUUGUUGUUUAUAGUGAUAAGAGGGAUAAAGAUAGAAAGACACAAGGUUUAUAGUGGUUCACAUUGCCAUCGGUGAGCAAGGCUACAUCCACUUAAGAUUCUAUUAUGUGUUGGGAGCCUUGAAUGGCCACUCAUCAAAGUAUUACAAGUGUUUGUUGUUAUGAUUUUAGAUCUUCUAAUAAGUGGGAAAGAGUCUUCUUUUAUAAGGGAAGGAAGCUCCUUCCUUUACAUUAUCUUCAAUGUAGGACAAGAGCCUCAUUUCUAGUCUUCAAGUGUGUUUGAGGAGGCAUGUUGGUGAGACCGGAAAGGUGACUUUUGGGUAAGCUUUUGGUGACUUCCAAGUACCGUUGCGUAGCUUGUAUGUUAGGCUUCAAGAUGUAUGUCGUGGUCGGGUCUCGUUAUGGCUCAUGGGCCCAUAACGAGGGUGUUAUUUAUGCUUGGUGGCAUAGUAUACUAGUCAUGCCAAUGGUGUACCAAUAAGUUCUCGAAGUCCCCCAGUAAGAGAAGCUUCUUGCUUGGAGAGUUUAAAACAUUGACACCAAGCAUAAGUGACACCACGGUGGCCCCCAACCCCUACUAGUCCCCGAACUCCUAAAGCAAGAAGAGUCUCUUCAAACUGCUAUCGAAGUCUUGGCGGUUCAACUUGCUAGCGGAAACUAACUCUUGCCGGAAUGUCUUUGGCGGAUCCAUGCUAGAAUAAUUGUCUUGCUAGAUGAGCGCUAACCGCUCGCUAAAUGUGUGCUAGCCGCUCUCGCUAAAUGUGUGCUAGCCGCUCGCUAGAUGAGCGCUAGAAGUCCCCGACUUCCCCUUUAAGAAGGUCCGCUUGAAUCCUCGGUGUAGCGCCGAGGCUUUGUUGUUCUCUCACAUAGUGAGGCAAAUUGUAGUUCUCACACUCACACAAGCGGUGAGGUAAAUUGUCGUUCUCUCACAAGCGGUGAGACAUCUCACAAGCAGAUAAUCAUCACAGUGAGAUUAAGUAAUAGCGGAUAAACUUCGCUUAGUAUUUCCCAAAGGGAAGCAUCCCGUUUGCACGAAGGAGCCUCGGCGGUUAAUCUUCGCCGGUGAGAGAGACAUCUCACAAGCGGAUAAACAUCGCAGUGAGGUUAAGUAAUAGCGGAUAAACUUCGCUUAGUCUUUCCCAAAGGGAAGCAUCCCGUUUGCACGAGGUAGCCUCGGCGGUUAAUCUUCACCGGUCUCUCACAAGGUGAGGCAUCCCACAAGCGGAUAAAUCGCAGUGAAGUUAAGUAAUAGAGGAUAAACUUCGCUUAGUCUUUUCCUAAGGGAAACAUCCCGUUUGCACGAGGUAGCCCCGGUGGUUAAUCUUCGCCGGUCUCUCACAAGGUGAGACAUCCCACAGAUGGUAUUACUCUCUUCAAUAAAUCUGGUUGCUUCUAGCUAGAGUUCUAGUUGAUCUGGUCUAUUUACAUGUACAUUAUUGCCAUUUCAACAUAUCUCCCUGCAUACAGGGAGGCCUGAAUCGAAAGAUCGAUAGUUUGAUACACAAGAUCUUAAGUCAGGAACGGUCUGAACUUUUGCAUUUGAGCUUGCACCAUAUAAUAUGAAAGCUGUAGAUCUAUGCAAGUAACAAGAUCGGACCGCAGAAUCAGGUAAUCAAUACUGAAUUGAUGUCCCUGCAGCUCGAGGAUUAAGGCUUAAAAUCCAGAAAAUCCGAAGCUAACAUUAUUAGAGCAAACUAUAUUGAGCUAGCACUAAUAUUCACUAUACUUCAUUUACAAGAAGGAUACCACAAGGAAACGAAAGCACAAGAACACAGAGGCACAAAACAACGAUCAAAAUAUAUAUACUAAAACGCUGUGGCUAGAUUCUACGUAUGUUUGUCAACCUUUUCCUUUGCUUCAUCAUUCUUGCUUUGGUAUUUUGGUUUAUAUUUGUCAAUUAGUUUACUAUGACUAGGACCUGCUCAAGUUUUGUUGUAUUGUAAUGCACAUAUGUAAGGUGUGAGAACAAACACUUUGGUGCUAUUGAAAUGAUCCUUUUCAUGUCAUUUUUGUGCGUUUAGCCGGUUUAAAGUAUGUAUGAUUUUAUGCGUCAUCAGUUGCAAGAAUAGUUGAUUUCGGUGUAGGGAGCAACAAAAUAGGGGAAUAAAACACUUUGAAAACAAUCUGAUUUACAACAAAAUUAAAGUUACAUUUUAGAUAAUGAAGGAAAUUAAUUAUUAUUAAAAAAGAAAAAAAAUAAUUGAAAGUAUGUAGUAUUGUUCAAUAGCACUAGCAUUUAUACGCUCAUAUUGCUCUUUUCUUGUUCUCUACAUAGGAUGUAGAUGAUAUGUCCUGUUUUCUGUUUUCAGCAAAAGGGGUAGAUGAUAACUACAUACACCUCUAAGACAGAAGACCAGAUCGACCAUUCACGUCUGAAAAUGGGAAACAAACUUUUAUCUGUUCAUUAAGCUCUAAGAGAAGAAGAUACCAUCCAU
rnacentral:lncRNA from 1 species